ACGGCCAUUCCACCUUGAAAACACCGGUCCGAUCACCGAAGUUAAGCAAUGUCAGGCCUGGUCAAUACUUGGGAAAGUGACCACCUGGGAACACCGGGUACUGUAGGCU